rnacentral:rRNA from 1 species
UACGAAGGGUGCAAACGUUGCUCGGAAUCAUUGGGCGUAAAGCGCACGUAGGCGGCUUCGCAAGUCGGAUGUGAAAUCCCUCGGCUCAACCGUGGACGUGCAUACGAAACUGCGGAGCUUGAGUGCUGAAGAGGAUCGCGGAAUUCCCGGUGUAGAGGUGAAAUUCGUAGAUAUCGGGAGGAACACCAGUGGCGAAGGCGGCGAUCUGGGCAGACACUGACGCUGAGGUGCGAAAGCAUGGGGAGCGAACGGG